GAAAUCGAAAAUUUUCGUCAAUUCGUAAUAGGAUCCCUUGGCGAAUUGCGCGAUGUUCUACGUGACCCAUUCGAAUACCCGGACCCUUUUAGUGUAGAUACCACGAAUCCUGACUUGGCGCAAAUCAGGGGAAGCAUCUCGAAUGUGACGUAUUACGGACUAAACCAUUUAAGUAUGUGCAAAUUUACUAGCGCGUAUCCCACUAAGUUCUUCAUAUUGAGUUUCCGAGAGCGAUACCAGUCAUUUACAGGAACAUAUUCUUUGGACGGCAUAUUUUACAAUAACGGACUGCCACUCCCAUUCGGUGGAGAGGGGAAGUUUACCAUGGAUCUGUUGGGCAUAGCGUCAUUUGGGCCGAUGUAUGACUAAAGUAGAUGAGGUCACGGGACAUGUCAGGCUUGGUCCGUCAGCCUUUUGGGGCGGCUACCUUAGUAUUCCCAACAAUUACACAUUCGAUUUUGAAGGACUGUUUACAAAUUCCGACAUACCAGCCGAGUUUCAUGACCCGAUUCAUCAUCAGAUUUAUAGUGCAGUCGAGGGCAGAAUGUUGCGGAGACUGGUGGAAAAUUAUAUCGUUCCAGAGUUAAGACCGAUUUUCAACAAAAAUUUUGAGAAGUGGAGUUAUGCAGACAUACUGGGAGGUCAUUUUACCCCCUUCAACUCCACCAUGACCUGGGAUUGUUAUGGGUUAUGGCCUUAAUAU